AAACAACUCUCAGCAACGGAUAUCUUGGCUCUUGCAACGAUGAAGAASGCAGGAAAUGCGAAAUUUAAUGUGAAUUGCAGAAUUCCGUGAAUCAUCGAGUCUUUGAACGCAAGUUGCGCCCGAGGCUUGUCCGAGGGCAUUUCCGCUAGAGCGUCACC
rnacentral:rRNA from 1 species